AUCGCUGUCUCCAGGCCCGAGGAUGAAGAAAGGCCUGAGCCUCCAGAGUGCCUCUCUGUCCAGAAGUCAAUCCAAGAAGUGCUUAAUGGGUUCCUGUAUCCUUUCUUCCUUGAUUACUCAGUGCUGAGUGGAGACUUCUCACCAGGACUCCAGCAUCACCAUUUCCUGUCCAUGGAGCAUCCUGAGACAAAUUCUGCGAUCUGAUUUCCAUCCUGUCUCACAGAAAAGUGCAAUCCCGGUCUCUCCAGCAUCUUCCCUAGUUACCCAGGACAACACAUCGAGAAUUAAAAGCUUUCUUAAAUUUCUCUUUGCCCCACCCAUGAUCAUUCCGCACAAAUUUCUUGCUCUUGCAGUUCAAUAAAUGAUUACCCUUGCACUU
rnacentral:lncRNA from 1 species